rnacentral:lncRNA from 1 species
CACUAGCCGAGAAAAGCAGGGAGAUAUCUACUGCCUGAGCCAAGCGGUAGAGGGUAGGAAGAAUAGUGUGUGGUAUGAGUGUACAGUUGGGCAAGAUAAUUUUUAAGUACAUCUUAAAGGCACAUAAGUAGGAUUUCAAUAGACUUGCCUAGAGGGAUUCUAGAUGAAGGAAAGAGCAUAAGCAAAGACAGAAAUGGGAAGGGCCUGACCUUGGACUUCUAGAGGGCUAACUUGGAGAUGGGAAGGAGGAGUUGGUGCUGGAAGCUUGAGAAAGAAUCUAAAGGGAAUUGACUCCAGCUAUAUUGCUACUGUGGGUGUGGAAAGCAUCUGCUCAAACAUGACCAUCUGCUUGGAAAAUUCAUUUAAAGUAAAGAUGUGCCUGCCACACAUGCUGGCCUUCUUCUGGAAGAUUAACACACCAAAGAAACUCUCAAUUCAGGAUCCUUGCACCUUGCUGCCUCUUCCUGGCAUGAUCAUCCUCCAGGCCUUUGAGAAAUGUUCCUUUCAUCACCCAGGUCUCAGCUCAAUGGCUCCCCACUCCAAGAGGUCCUUCCUAACCAGCAGAUCUGAAGCUGUCCAGCUCCUUGUCUGGCUUCAUCCCUCUCUGCCCCAUUACCCUGAUCUAUUUCCUUCAUAGACUUCAGCCAUUGUUAAAAGGUAACAUUCAGGAAAAGAUAAAAUCGCAAUCCUCAUGCAGAAAUAAAAACGAAC